rnacentral:rRNA from 1 species
CCUACGGCGGCAGCAGUGGGGAAUAUUGGACAAUGGGCGAAAGCCUGAUCCAGCCAUGCCGCGUGUGUGAAGAAGGCCUUCGGGUUGUAAAGCACUUUCAGUGGGGAAGAAAGCCUUGGGGCUAAUACCCUCGAGGAAGGACAUCACCCACAGAAGAAGCACCAGCUAACUCCGUGCCAGCAGCCGCGGUAAUACGGAGGGUGCGAGCGUUAAUCGGAAUUACUGGGCGUAAAGCGCGCGUAGGCGGUCUGAUAAGCCGGUUGUGAAAGCCCCGGGCUCAACCUGGGAACGGCAUCCGGAACUGUCAGGCUAGAGUGCAGGAGAGGAAGGUAGAAUUCCCGGUGUAGCGGUGAAAUGCGUAGAGAUCGGGAGGAAUACCAGUGGCGAAGGCGGCCUUCUGGACUGACACUGACGCUGAGGUGCGAAAGCGUGGGUAGCAAACAGGAUUAGAUACCCGAGUAGU